CUACGGAGGGUGCAAGCGUUAUCCGGAAUCAUUGGGUUUAAAGGGUCCGUAGGCGGGCUAAUAAGUCAGGGGUGAAAUCCCACAGCUUAACUGUGGAACUGCCCUUGAUACUGUUGGUCUUGAGUUACAGUGAAGUGGUUAGAAUGUGUAGUGUAGCGGUGAAAUGCAUAGAGAUUACACAGAAUACCGAUUGCGAAGGCAGAUCACUAACUGUAUACUGACGCUGAUGGACGAAAGCGUGGGGAGCGAACAGGAUUAGAAACCCCAGUAGUCC
rnacentral:rRNA from 1 species